rnacentral:misc_RNA from 1 species
UCUCCGUUGGUGAACCAGCGGAGGGAUCAUUACAGGACUCGCAAGACUCCUACAACCCUGUGAACUUAACUAUAAGCACGUUGCUUCGGCGGGUGUCUCGGAGGGGGUUCUCCCUCCCCGAGACGCUAGACCCGCCGGCAGCCUACUAUACUCUGUCUCUUUGCGUUGGCAUCUCGAGUACAAUCAAACAAGUUAAAACUUUCAACAACGGAUCUCUUGGUUCUG